rnacentral:rRNA from 1 species
GAUGAACGCUGGCGGCGUGCCUAAUACAUGCAAGUCGAGCGAACAGACGAGGGGCUUGCUCCUUUGACGUUAGCGGCGGACGGGUGAGUAACACGUGGGUAACCUACCUAUAAGACUGGGAUAACUUCGGGAAACCGGAGCUAAUACCGGAUAAUAUUUCGAACCGCAUGGUUCGAUAGUGAAAGAUGGCUCUGCUAUCACUUAUAGAUGGACCUGCGCCGUAUUAGCUAGUUGGUAAGGUAACGGCUUACCAAGGCAACGAUACGUAGCCGACCUGAGAGGGUGAUCGGCCACACUGGAACUGAGACACGGUCCAGACUCCUACGGGAGGCAGCAGUAGGGAAUCUUCCGCAAUGGGCGAAAGCCUGACGGAGCAACGCCGCGUGAGUGAUGAAGGUCUUCGGAUCGUAAAACUCUGUUAUUAGGGAAGAACAAACGUGUAAGUAACUGUGCACGUCUUGACGGUACCUAAUCAGAAAGCCACGGCUAACUACGUG